GUGGUGACCUGGGUUCUAUGUCUAUUCCUGCACUCCAGAACUCAAGAGCCUGGGCAGCACAUUCAUGAGAGGCUGUCUCAUGGAAAGAGCUCAGAGAACUUAAGCGAAGGAAAGAAAGAAAGAAAAAAAAAAGAAGUAAAGUCACUUGCUGAAGAUCCCACAGUGAACUGGAGAGCUAGGGUAUAUACUUGACCUAGGAGUCUCAGUUCCCAGGACUCUUGCAACACUAGCUAUUCAGCCAUUAGCACACAUUGAAAUCACCUACAGGACUGGUGAAAACACAGAUUGCUGGAUCCACCCCCAGAUUUUCUCAUACGAUUCUGAUGCAGUAGACCUAAAACGGGGACCUCAGGUUCUAGAUUUCCAGCAAGAUCCUGGAAAUGUGAUGCCACUACUCUUCAGACCACACUCUUGGAAGGGGACCAACUAUCACGGACUUCACUAGAGUGGAAAUGAGCUGGUGAUGGUCACUGUGGAGAUCACAGAUCUCUUGAGUACAAAGUUUUGAUAAGGGGUUAAUUGAGGAUGCAGAAGUAACAGAACAAAAAUGGAGCUCUCGGGUUGACGUGGCCCCCAAAUGCUCUGAUGAAGCAGAGUGAGGUGAGUCGCAAGCUAUUAACAACCUGCCUUAUUUGGACCAAAUUACUGACGUUCAGCUGCCUCCAGAUUAGCUGAGCCUGCUGUUGGCUCAGCUUCGGUGUAGAGAGCGGGAGAAAUUGUGACAAGAGCCUUGGGACUGCGAGAGGGGCUGCAUGCCUCCCUUCCAGCAAGUUUAGAGGAGGGAGAAGAGGAAGGAGUUCAGGGGUCUGCCUCCAGCUCCCGGGUCUGCAGCAGAUCCACCGUCCACCUGCUCAUUCCUUUCCUCAUCCCCUCAACCACUUGUUUAGCUGUUUACCAGUCAGCAAGUUUCGUGAAACACCCACAGUUUUGCCAGGUUCCAGAAACCAGAGGCAAAAAACACUAAGAAGCCUCAGGAAAGACUGAAACCAAGCCCAUCGGUGACUCAGAGACCUAGACUCACCCAAAUUUGCCUUGCUUUCAGCCAAGGAGAAAGGGAAAAACCUGUUUUAUGUGUUCAUCCUGCGGCCUCCCUUAACCAUUAGGAUUUCAG